rnacentral:lncRNA from 10 species
CCCAGGAGCUUGCUACAAGUGCCAGAAAUCUGGCCACCAGGCCAAGGAAUGCCUGCAGCCCAGGAUUCCUCAUAAGCCAUGUCCCAUCUGUGUGGGACCCCACUGAAUAUCGGACUGUUCAACUCACCUGGCAGCCACUCCCAGAGCCCCUGGAACUCUGGCCCAAGGAUCUCUGACUCCUUCCCAGAUCUUCUCGGCUUAGCGGCUAAAGACUAACGCUGCCUGAUCACCUCGGAAGCCCCAGAAACCAUCACGGACGCCGAGCAUCAGAAAUUGCCACAGCCACCCCAACCUUCAGCAACCAACAACCUAAUCAGCUAGCAGACAUCAACAUCAAGGCAGGACCCUCCAACCUCCAGCAGGAAAAAGAUUACCACUUGCUCAAGGCCCAGAUGAUCAUUAGCACGUUUUAGCAAUAAAGUAUUUUUUAAUUAAGGUAAGCUAUAUAAUUUUUUUACAUGUAAUACUAUUGCACACUUAAUAGACUAUACUACAGUGUAAACAUAAAUUCUAUAUACAUUGGAGAACCAAAAAUUCAUGUGACUCAGUUUAUUGUGCUAUUCGCUUUAUGGUGGUGCCUGUAACCAAACCUGCAAUAUCUCUUAGGUAUACUUAUAAAUCUUAUUUUGCCAACUUCAACCACUGUUCUUCAGAAAUGUGAUAAAAGUAGUGAAAAUAUAAUACAGUUAACCCUUGAACAAUACUACGUGGGUCCACUUUUAUUAGAGUUCUCUUCAAUAAAAGUUAACCCCGAGUGUGUCUGCCUCUUUUGUUCCCCUUUCAUCUCCUCUUCAUCUUCUGCCUCUGCCACACAGAGACAGCAAGACCACCCGAAGGGUUGGUCCUCCUCCUUCUCAGCCUAGUCAAUGUGAACAUGACAAGGAUGAAGAUCUUUAUGAUGAUCUACUUCCACUUAUUGAUUAGUAAAUAUAUUUUCUCUUCAUUAUGAUUUCCUUAAUAACAUUUUCUUUUCUCUAGCUUACUUUAUUGUAAGAAUAUAGCAUACUAUGCAUAUAACAUACAAAAUAUGUGUUAACUGUUUAUGUUAUAGGUAAGGAUUCUGAUCAACAGUAGGCUAUUUAGUAGUUAAGAUUUGGGGGAGUCAAAAGUUAUAUAUGGAUUUUCAACUGCAAGGGGGUUGGCACCCCUAACCCUCAUGUUGUUCAAGGGUCAACUGUAUAGACAAAAAUAUGUCAAUGGUUACUAAUAAUAUUUAUAAAUAACUACCCACUUAGAAGCUUUAAAUUACAGCAUCCUAAGAACAAGGAAAUACAAAAUGGAUUAAAAACAACUGUAAAAUGGUAAAAUAAUACUGACCCACAUUACUAUCUUGAGACUUUCAAAAAAACAGAAAAAUCCUUGACAUUCUACUCUCCUUCUUAAAAUACCAUUUAUUUAGAUGUUCAUAAAUGCUUUACCUGAAUAGAAAAAAGGGCAAAGGGCAGCUGUCAACAAAGUUCUUUUUGUGAGCAAGAAACAAAGAAAAAAAAAUGAAGUCUAAUGUGCAAAUGUAAAUCAUCUAACCAUUGUAAAUCAUCUGGAUUAAUAUUACCAUUAAAUAUUUUCAAAAUAUGUUUGUCACUUAUUUUAUGACCAAAUCUUAAAAACGCAGAUAGCUUUUUGCCUUCUGCACCUCCCUGGUUGUAGGAGAAUCGUUGUUUUACUCUACAGGGCUGCUCUUUCCUAAUGCAACAUCCCCAUCUGGUGAAAAUAGGUCUUUGCAAUCAAGGCUCCAUGAGGUAGGAGCCAUUAGUUGAAUUUGUGCAUAAAUAAAGCCAUUCUAGAAUAAAAGAUCACAAUAACACUAUUUUAAAGUAUAUUUUGAAAGCACUUGCUUUAGACUCAAAGACAAAAAUCACAUCAAAGUUGUUGGUGCUGUAGCUUUGUAGGAGGGGGCUAGGGAAGGUUCAGGGAAGAGAAGGAUGAAUGCUGAAGGCCAUUUCUAGUAAAAUUAGGACUAGCUACAUUUAAAAUUUAUUUCAAUUCCCCAUCUGUUGGCAAAACUAAUCCUGACUCAUUUUGGAAUCUGUAGAAUAAAGUGCAGAAUUAUAAACAAAGAAAAGUAAAAAGGCUUGUGGCAAAUACAUAUGCAUGAAAACUUCUGGAUAUUUUAUUAUUUUUUCGUAUUUCUCAUUUUAAAAAACAGACACUUUAUGACAAAUCAAUUCACCACAGUUAGUAAGAGUAGGCAAUAAGUGAGCCAGAAGACUAGAAAUAUGAGGUUUACAGACACUUUGGUUACAAUUAACCAUGUUCUAGUUUUUCCUAUUAUUAGAGCUAAUGAACUGUUUAUGUUAUUAUUGUUCAUGUUAAAAACAUAUAUUUCUUUUUAAACUUACUUUAUUAACUGACAAAUAAUAAUUGUACAUAUUGAUGGGGUACAUAGUGAUAUUCGACAUAUAGAAUGUAUAAUGAUCAGUGAGGGUAAUUAACAUAUUCAUCAUCUCAAACAUUUAUUUCUUUGUGUUAGAAAUGGUCAAUAUCCCCCUUAUAGCUAUUUAAAACAUGUAUUAUUGUUAACUAUAGUCAUCCUGCAGUGUUAUAGAACACUGCAACUUAUCCCUCCUACCUAGCUGUAAUUUUGUAUCCUUUAACACAUUUCUGCCUAUCCCUCCUUUUACCUUACCUUUCCUGUCCUGUAGUAUCAGUUUUUUCCUGUGUUCUACAUUUUAUGUCUGUGAGAUCAACUUUUUGUAGCUUCCACAUAUAAAUGAGGACAUGUGGUGCUUAACUUUCUAUUCCUGGCUUAUUUCACUUAACAUACUCCAGUUCUACCCAUGUUGCUUUGAAUGAUAGGAUUUCAUUCUUUUUUAUAGCUAAAUCAUAUUUUAUUGAAAAAAUGUAUAUUUCAUUAUUGCUUAUAUUUGUCAAUGCAUUUUUUUAAAUUAAAGAAUUAUA